GCAUAUCAAUAAGCGGAGGAAAAGAAACCAACAGGGAUUGCCUCAGUAACGGCGAGUGAAGCGGCAACAGCUCAAAUUUGAAAUCUGGCCCCAGGCCCGAGUUGUAAUUUGCAGAGGAUGUUUCUGGCGAGGUGCCUUCCGAGUUCCCUGGAACGGGACGCCAUAGAGGGUGAGAGCCCCGUACGGUUGGUCGCUAAGCCUCUGUGAAACUCCUUCGACGAGUCGAGUAGUUUGGGAAUGCUGCUCUAAAUGGGAGGUGUACGCCUUCUCAAGCUAAAUACCGGCUAGAGACCGAUAGCGCACAAGUAGAGUGAUCGAAAGAUGAAAAGCACUUUGAAAAGAGGGUUAAAUAGUACGUGAAAUUGUUGAAAGGGAAGCGCUCUUGACCAGACUUGCGCCGGUUGAUCAUCCACCGUUCUCGGUGGUGCACUCUGCCGGCUCAGGCCAGCAUCAGUUCGGCCCGGGGGAUAAAGGCUUCGGGAAUGUGGCUCUCUCCGGGGAGUGUUAUAGCCCGUUGCGUAAUACCCUGGACCGGACUGAGGUUCGCGCAUCUGCAUGGAUGCUGGCGUAAUGGUCAUCAGUGACCCGUCUUGAAACACGGACC
rnacentral:rRNA from 2 species